rnacentral:rRNA from 1 species
AUUGAACGCUGGCGGCAUGCCUUACACAUGCAAGUCGAACGGUAACAGGUCUUCGGAUGCUGACGGGUGGCGAACGGGUGAGUAAUACAUCGGAACGUGCCUAGUAGUGGGGGAUAACUACUCGAAAGAGUGGCUAAUACCGCAUGAGAUCUACGGAUGAAAGCAGGGGAUCGCAAGACCUUGUGCUACUAGAGCGGCCGGUGGCGGAUUAGGUAGUUGGUGGGAUAAAAGCUUACCAAGCCGACGAUCUGUAGCUGGUCUGAGAGGACGAUCAGCCACACUGGGACUGAGACACGGCCCAGACUCCUACGGGAGGCAGCAGUGGGGAAUUUUGGACAAUGGGCGCAAGCCUGAUCCAGCAAUGCCGCGUGCAGGAUGAAGACCUUCGGGUUGUAAACUGCUUUUGUACGGAACGAAAAGCCCUGGGUUAAUACCCUGGGGUCAUGACGGUACCGUAAGAAUAAGCACCGGCUAACUACGUGCCAGCCGCCGCCGUAAAAC